AAAUUGAAGAGUUUGAUCAUGGCUCAGAUUGAACGCUGGCGGCAGGCCUAACACAUGCAAGUCGAACGGUAACAGGAAGCAGCUUGCUGCUUUGCUGACGAGUGGCGGACGGGUGAGUAAUGUCUGGGAAACUGCCUGAUGGAGGGGGAUAACUACUGGAAACGGUGGCUAAUACCGCAUAACGUCGCAAGACCAAAGAGGGGGACCUUCGGGCCUCUUGCCAUCAGAUGUGCCCAGAUGGGAUUAGCUUGUUGGUGAGGUAACGGCUCACCAAGGCGACGAUCCCUAGCUGGUCUGAGAGGAUGACCAGCCACACUGGAACUGAGACACGGUCCAGACUCCUACGGGAGGCAGCAGUGGGGAAUAUUGCACAAUGGGCGCAAGCCUGAUGCAGCCAUGCCGCGUGUAUGAAGAAGGCCUUCGGGUUGUAAAGUACUUUCAGCGGGGAGGAAGGUGUUGUGGUUAAUAACCACAGCAAUUGACGUUACCCGCAGAAGAAGCACCGGCUAACUCCGUGCCAGCAGCCGCGGUAAUACGGAGGGUGCAAGCGUUAAUCGGAAUUACUGGGCGUAAAGCGCACGCAGGCGGUCUGUCAAGUC
rnacentral:rRNA from 3 species